CUUUUUUCUGUGGAGAAGAAAAUUCAAAUCAUUCAAUGAAAUAUCGAUUGAGGACCUACAUAGCAGUUGGUGCCAGUGUCUGACUCUGCGACCCCUGGACUGCAGCCUGCCAGGUUCCUCUGUCCAUGGAAUUUUUCAGAAGGGUCAUGAAACCAGGAGUGGAAAAUAUUCCCUAGAAGACAAGCUGGAUGACCUCGGCCAUGAAGAACACUGCAAAGAAAUGACCGGGCUUGUCUGGGAUUCUCUUCAUUCUCAAGUUGAAUCUGAUCUGACAGAUGUGCCUCGAGAAUGGACAAUGCCGGCUGCUCUGACUUGUUGAUCCACGCAGUCUAUACACUGAAAUACAAGCCACCCAAAAGCUCAGGACUUCCGCUGCGAGGAUCAGCUACGUAAAGCUCCUCUCCUCAGCCCAUGUUCUAGGAGGUAAGCUUGAUGGAGGCAGACGCUGGAGGAAGACAGGUUCAAACCACACAAGAGCAGGCUGAGCAAAGCCAUUUUGGGUUUUACUGCUGAUGCUUCUCACUAUCUUAGAUGAAGGACAAUUUUUGCUUGGAUGUUUCAUUUCCAAACUUUUGAGGACUAAUAGGUACGUAGUCAUUAAGUUGUGUCCAACUCUUUGUGACCCCCAUGGACUAUACAGCCCACCAGGCUCCUCUGCCCAUGGGAGUUCUCCAGGCAAGAACACUGGAGUGGGUUGCCGUUUCCUUACGGAGUCCUAUUAACACGACAAGCCGCAUGCAACUUAUCUAAAGUGUACUCAACAGCACCCAAAAUGGUUUACGCCCUGUUCAAUGAGACCAGUCCACCGACCGUGUGUUUGGAUGUUGUGGCAAGGGGAAACCACUAUAUUUUUAAAUGCUUACUCUCGAUUUUUACACUUACAACAUCACAGGAUAACAGCAUACAGUUCAUGGACUGGCACCAGGAGUAGCUCUAGACCAAAGAAUGAAAAAUGUUCAGUGAAGCAACUGAAAGCCUGCACCCUGAUUCCUGUUUUGUGCUUUUCUGUCCAGACUCAUGCCCCACCUCCAUAUCCUGCAGCCUCCAACAAGCCAGUCAAAGCAGGACCUAGUCUGUGAAAAUAAAUUCAA